rnacentral:rRNA from 1 species
AUUGAACGCUAGCGGGAUGCUUUACACAUGCAAGUCGAACGGCAGCGCGGACUUCGGUCUGGCGGCGAGUGGCGAACGGGUGAGUAAUGUAUCGGAACGUGCCCAGUAGCGGGGGAUAACUACGCGAAAGCGUAGCUAAUACCGCAUACGCCCUACGGGGGAAAGCAGGGGAUCGUAAGACCUUGCACUAUUGGAGCGGCCGAUAUCGGAUUAGCUAGUUGGUGAGGUAACGGCUCACCAAGGCGACGAUCCGUAGCUGGUUUGAGAGGACGACCAGCCACACUGGGACUGAGACACGGCCCAGACUCCUACGGGAGGCAGCAGUGGGGAAUUUUCGACAAUGGGGGCAAGCCUGAUCCAGCAACCCCGCGUGAGCGAUGAAGGCCUUCGGGUUGUAAAGCACUUUUGGCAGGAAAGAAACGUCGCGGGCGAAUACCCCGUGGAACUGACGGUACCUGCAGAAUAAGCACCGGCUAACUACGUG